rfam:Brassica napus, WGS project CCCW01000000 data, contig: 1367
GAUCCAUGAUGAGGGCAUGGAGCUUGGUAGCCUUUGAAUCUCUCCUAGGCUUCACUGAAUCCUUCCAAGCCUUUCUGUUGAAAGCUGGAGAUCUCAUUUCUCAGCUU